rnacentral:tRNA from 2 species
AGGGCUAUAGCCAAGCGGUAAGGCAAGGGACUUUGACUCCCUCACGCACAAGUUCGAAUCUUGUUAGCCCUGCCA